AUUGAACGCUGGCGGCAGGCCUAACACAUGCAAGUCGAGCGAGCGGCGGACGGGUGAGUGAUGUCUGGGAAACUGCCUGAUGUCGGGGGGGAACUACUCGAGACGGUAGAUAAUACCGCACACCAUCCGCUGUGCCCAGAUGGGAUAUGCUAGUGGGUGGGGUAAUGGGUCACCUAGGCGACGAUCCCUAGCUGGUCUGAGAGGAUGACCAGCCACACUGGAACGGAGACACGGUCCAGACUCCUACGGGAGGCAGCAGUGGGGAAUAUUGCACAAUGGGCGCAAGCCUGAUGCGGCCAUGCCGCGUGUGUGAAGAAGGCCUUCGGGUUGUAAAGCACUUUCAGCGAGGAGGCGUUACUCGCAGAAGAAGCACCGGCUAACUCCGUGCCAGCCGCCGCGGUAAUUC
rnacentral:rRNA from 1 species